rnacentral:snRNA from 2 species
ACACUUUUCUUCAACAGUAUCUGUUCUUAUCAGCCCAAUAUUUGAUCGGGCCUAAUUGGUCCAAGAUAUUGAACUUAUUUUUAGUAAGCGGAGUUCCUCCGAAGCUUGCUUGGAGGUCUCCAGGGUUGGCGCUGUAACGCACAACUUCCUGGAGUGUAACCCGUCCCCA